UAAAGUGGCGCACGGGUGAGUAACACGUGACUAACCUACCCUCGAGUGGGGAAUAACCUAGAGAAAUCUGGGCUAAUACCGCAUAACACUUACGAGUCAAAGCAGCAAUGCGCUUGAGGAGGGGGUCGCGGCAGAUUAGCUAGUUGGCGGGGUAAUGGCCCACCAAGGCAAUGAUCUGUAUCCGGCCUGAGAGGGCGCACGGACACACUGGAACUGAAACACGGUCCAG
rnacentral:rRNA from 1 species